rnacentral:lncRNA from 1 species
AAGAAACUAGAAGUGACCCUCUGGGUCAAAAUUGAUGCCUGUUGAAUGGAAAACCAAACAUUGCAUUUUCUCACCAAAUGUGGGAGCUAAGCUAUGAGGAUGCAAAGACGAGAGCUGGGGUAGCAAUGUGGCAAUGGAGACUUGAAAUAUCUCAAGAAUACCAUGAAACAGGGCCAGCUGCAGGUUGAGUCCUGUGUCUGGGCCCUAAUUUCCUUGUGAUUGGGCUACUGGUGAUCAUGCAGUUGUCUUCUGGAUGAAAGGAGCUGGUCUGUGGAGAGAUCUCUGGCCACCUGAAGAUGAGGGGAAGAGUCCCCUUGCCUCACAGAUUGAAUCCCAGGCCACCACACAGGAGCUGAAGAGGCCAGGCUCCUCCCUCCUGCCUGCGGCUCUGUCCCGUUCUUCCAGUACUCAUGUGGGUAUGCUCAGACAAGGCCCUGGGCAGGUUCCCUCAUCUGCACAAAAGCACCUGAUGUAAACACUUGUGGGGUAGGUCGGAAAUUCUCUGAGGACCCCUUUUUAUCUGCCUAGACAUUUGGCCUUCUCAUUUGCAUGAUGUUAAACGUUAUCUUUGUCACCUAAAUAAACUGCAAGUUCUGUUAAUGUUGCUCAGUCAGUCACUACUCAUGCUGAUGGCCUAGGUCUGUGCAACCAGAGUCUAAACUGCUCCUAACAAUGAAGCCUUCAGCCUCUGUCACUUCCUCAGGGAGGCGAUUGCAGAGCUGGAUAGAUCCCUUCGAUUGGCUCUUAAGAGCUUUCCAUUUUCUCUUUCUCCUUUUUGUCUCUUCAAAUGAAUACAUUUCACAAAGGUAUAGGUUACUGUGGGAGCAUCUCUCUUCCUGAAAAUGAAGGCAGCCAUCACUGAAACAUUGCUUAGAGCCACUUUGAGAGCAAAAUGAUGACAAGUUUUAAUGACUACAAAUGUCAACCUCAACCAGAUAUAAGAUCAAGAAAUAAGAACAUUCAUUACUAUUCUUAUUUGUCAGCAAUAAACAGCUGGAAAAUAAAAUGGCACCAUGAAAAUGAACUACCUAGGCAUUAUCUAAUAAGAAUGUAUA